GGGAUUACCUGCCCACACAAUAGAGGGAGGAUCUUACCUGGGAAUCCUCACUUGGCUCCAGAGCUUCUUCAGGAAGGACGUUGCUGGACUUCCUCGCUCCAAAAGGUAAGCCUGGGGCCUUUGGCCUCCCCCCCCACGACAGGGUUCCCAAAGGAUAGCAGGGGGGGUAAUGGAUUUCAGGAUCCCCUUUUAAAAGGGGAUCCUUUUCCCUAGGCGGGCCCUGAUGCCCCAGGGUUUUGGGUGAUGGCACGGGGGCCCCUCUGGCUGCCCCCCAUGCCUGCGGGAGAGUGUGGGCCGCGGGGGGAGGCAACGCCACACGCGGCCCUUCCCUUCCCCCGCCAGGCCUGGCGGCCCUGGGGUGUGGUGGGUGGUGGCGGGGGGGGUCCCGGUCACCCCCCGGGGCCUCGGAGGCCUCCAGGCGGCCUUUUUAGGCUGCAGGGAGACCCGCCGCGUUUUGGAAGGCCUUACUGGGCCUCGGGGGGGGGGCUCCGCCGCGUUCCGCAGCCUAAUCAGGCCUCCUGCGGCCCUGGAGCCUCCCCUGGGCGGUGGGGGCCUUCCUGCUGCCCCCACGAUCGCCGGGGGGGCCGCGGGCCGCGCCGUGCGGCCUCCCCUGGCUCCGGAGGCCUAGCUAGGCCUCAGGGAGGCCUGGCUGGGCCUCGGGAGGCUCCGUGGCCUAAUCGGGCCUCCGGUGGCCCCGGAGCCACCCCUGGGUGGUGGGGGCCUUCCCGCCGCUCCUGCGAUUGCCGGGGGGCCGUGGGCCGCGCCGCGCGGCUUCUCCCGGCUCUGGAGGCCUAGCUGAGCCUCGGGGAGGCUCUGUGGCCUAAUCGGGCCUCCGGCGGCCCUGGAGCCUCUCCUGGGUGGUGGGGGCCUUCCUGCCGCCCCCACGUUCCGUGUGCUGCCUCCCCCAGCUUUGGCCGGCCUUUUAAGGCCGCAGGGAGGCUCUGCCGCCUCGCACGGCCUACACCAGGCCUCUGGCGACCCUGGAGCCUCCCCUGGGCGGCGGGGGGGACCCCUGCAGCCGGCGGGCAUACCCGCCCCCCCUGAGAUGGCCCCGGGGGACAGUGUGGGCCUCUGCUUGCACCCCACCCCCUUAAACUGUGUGGUGGGGGGGGUGGUGCCGCAUCACGGGGCCCUGCCAAGGUGCUGUAGGACUGGUCCCUGUUGGAGGCGUGCCGGGCCUGCUUGGUGGUGGCUCCAUGUCUGCAGCCAUUUCAAUGGCGACCGCAUGGCGGCAGCCAUUGCGCUGGUGGCCACAUGGCGGCGGCCACCCUGGAUCUGACCACAUGGGCAGUCAUGCCUCGGUGGUCCUCAGGCACACCUAUGGCCUCAUUAGGUACGUAUUGGUUUUACAUCUCACCAUCAUGGCUUGCCAGCAGGUGCAGCGGACAGCAGGCAUCGCGCUCAUUAUCGACGAGGGGAGACUGCCCAUGGACCUCAACUGAAAUCUGUGCAGUGAUUUUCUAAACUAUUGCUUGUUUUAUUUUGCAGCCUUCAGUAGCGAUUCCUGCUGCGACUCAGUUCUUGCCUUAUCUCCUCCCCUCCCAUUAUUCGUAACCUUACCUUUAUCACUAGUGUGUGUUUGCAAAUUGAUAGCGGGCAUUUCCUACCAAUCAUUGCCCCCCCUUGUUUUACGGAUUCCCUAGCAUACCCUACUCUAUUAGCCCCACACCAUGCCACCAAAGCAUCAGGCUGCUUCUCCUCCCCGCACCAGAAGGGGCACUGUAAGGGGCAAGCCCACCAAGCCUGCCCAGAGACAGGCCACUGGACAGCGGGAGGUGCGUGCGACCAGGGAGGAGCAGCCCAAGCCCAAGAAGACCACGCCCAAGAGGGCAGCGGCACCUAGAGGGUCUUCUGGGUCCAUAAGCCCACUAGCCUUGGCAAGCCGCGCCGGCAAGGGGUCGGCUGCCAAGCCGAGAUGUACAGAGAGCUCCUCCUCUACCCGCUCCUCCCUUAGUAGCAGUCCCUCGCACUCAGUGCGCGGAGACAGUAGGGAUAGGACCAUUGCCCGGCUGAGGC
rnacentral:lncRNA from 1 species